rnacentral:rRNA from 1 species
CCUACGGGAGGCAGCAGUGGGGAAUUUUGGACAAUGGGCGAAAGCCUGAUCCAGCAAUGCCGCGUGAGUGAAGAAGGCCUUCGGGUUGUAAAGCUCUUUUGUCAGGGAAGAAACGGUGAGAGCUAAUAUCUUUUGCUAAUGACGGUACCUGAAGAAUAAGCACCGGCUAACUACGUGCCAGCAGCCGCGGUAAUACGUAGGGUGCAAGCGUUAAUCGGAAUUACUGGGCGUAAAGCGUGCGCAGGCGGUUUUGUAAGUCUGAUGUGAAAUCCCCGGGCUCAACCUGGGAAUUGCAUUGGAGACUGCAAGGCUAGAAUCUGGCAGAGGGGGGUAGAAUUCCACGUGUAGCAGUGAAAUGCGUAGAUAUGUGGAGGAACACCGAUGGCGAAGGCAGCCCCCUGGGUCAAGAUUGACGCUCAUGCACGAAAGCGUGGGGAGCAAACAGGAUUAGAUACCCUGGUAGUCCACGCCCUAAACGAUGUCUACUAGUUGUCGGGUCUUAAUUGACUUGGUAACGCAGCUAACGCGUGAAGUAGACCGCCUGGGGAGUACGGUUCGCAAGAUUAAAACUCAAAUUGAAUUGACGG